rnacentral:rRNA from 1 species
CAGCGCCACGAGUGGUGAUCGCUUUUAUUGGGCCUAAAGCGUCCGUAGCCGGUUUUAUAAAUCCUUUGUGAAAUUGUUAAGCCUAACUUAACAGCGAGCAGGGGACACUGUAAGACUAGAGACCGGGAGGAGUUAGAGGUAUGUUUGGGGGAGCGGUAAAAUGCUAUAAUCCCUAACAGACCACCUGUGGUGAAGACGUCUAACUAGAACGGAUCUGACGGUGAGGGACGAAAGCCAGGGGAGCGAACCGGAUUAGAUACCCGAGUAGUCC